UCUUUGUUCUUUCUAUCUCUCUUAUAAAAUUUCGUAAUUAAAAACUUACAUUAUAAAUUCGCUAAACAACUGGCGAUGAUCUUCAAUCUAGAAAUAACUGUUGAAAUAAAGGCGUCUCUUGGUCGCGGUAUAUUCUUAAAUCGGUUAACAAGGAAGGCAGAAGCCAGUAAAGCCACUUUAUAGGUCAGCCCGAUGUGUUUGUGAUUAUCAGUCUCUUUUCCCUGAGCCUGCAUGCAUUAUAAUUUCAUCUGGUCGAGUUGGUGUCUACGAGGACGACGGGGUGUUGUAAAAGAAUAAAUCGCUAAAAAUAAAUAGGAAUUGCCGAGCGUGUAUGUCCUCUGCCCCGUGGAACCGGAUCAACGUGUUCGUUACCGAUGUUCCUGCAUUCUUGCUGCUGCACUGUCGUAAUUGACUUUUUGGCGCCGGCCGGUUCCGACUCGCCGUUGCGAGUCCAUCGACUAAAGUGCUAUUUUCUACCGAAUCUGAAGUGAAGAAAGCCAUGUUCGAUGCAUA